GACAGAGGAUGCAAGCGUUAUCCAGAAUGAUUAGGCGUAAAGCGUCUGUAGGUGGCUUUUUAAGUCCGCCGUUAAAUCCUAGGGCUCAACCCUGGACAGGCGGUGGAAACUACCAAGCUGGAGUACGGUAGGGGUAGAGGGAAUUUCCGGUGGAGCGGUGAAAUGCGUAGAGAUCGGAAAGAACACCAACGGCGAAAGCACUCUGCUGGGCCGACACUGACACUAAGAGACGACCGCGUGGGGAGCGAACCGG
rnacentral:rRNA from 1 species